rnacentral:rRNA from 1 species
UACGAAGGGGGCUAGCGUUGCUCGGAAUUACUGGGCGUAAAGGGCGCGUAGGCGGAUAGUUUAGUCAGAGGUAAAAGCCCAGGGCUCAACCUUGGAACUGCCUUUGAUACUGGCUAUCUUGAGUUCGGGAGAGGUGAGUGGAAUGCCGAGUGUAGAGGUGAAAUUCGUAGAUAUUCGGCGGAACACCAGUGGCGAAGGCGACUCACUGGCCCGAUACGUGACGCUGAGGCGCGAAAGCGUGGGGAGCAAACAGG